rnacentral:lncRNA from 1 species
CUUAAAUUCUUUGUUUUGCACGGCUGACACGUCUUGAGGGUGAGGGACCAUGUGAUGUGACUUGGUACCCCUUCCGUUUCUCACCCAGUAUUAGAUUCAUGGUGGGCACUGCGGAAAUUCAAGCUUCGGGACAGUUGUCCCUCUUCCCAUCAAUUCGUCCAGGGGCAGGAAGCCUCCCAGAACUUCAGAAGUGUUGGAUGCGGACAUGUACGGCCUCAUCAACCAAAGACAGAAUGCUGGCUACCUUUUGGACCUCACAGGAUAUUUUUGGAAAAAAAUCCUGGAAUGGUGAAUGGAAAAAUGGCAACCUAAGAGCAAGGCCCACCAUUGAACAGCCAUGCACAGGCGUGUUUGUUUCUGAAAUCCAAUCUCAGGAGUAUAAACCUGGAAAAAUAUAGUUUCUCUUUUUUCUUACACUGUGUCAAUCAUUUGUAAGACAUCAGAAAUUAAUUACCCUUUUUAUUUUCGAAUUUCUCUGAAAUUGUGAAAGGAGAACUGAGUGAAAUAACAACAGUCCUGCUAUCUGGCAGAGGAUAAAACAUGAUUUCAAGAAAAAUCACAUCCUUAAAAAAUGCCAGCAUUAAAACAAUGCCUCGACUCGGACGGAGACACAGUUUCUCCCAGAUAAACAAUUUCAUAGAUUUGACCGCCCUCCCAUUCAUCAUUUUCUUGGGUUGUGUCUACAAAGUGACGAUAAAUAGAAAACCAUGUCAGCUUUGCAACAAAAUACAAUUUUCUAGAAAUAAGUUAAAAAACGAGGGAAGUUUCUUGUGUACUUUCUUUUUGCCAUAAGUGACACCAUGCAAGUCUUUAGAGUUUUACUUACUUCAUGUUUCAAUAUAUUUACCACUGAGUACCUGUUGGUUCUGCUUUUACUUAAUUGAAAUAGAUUUUUAAACCAUGUUCCUGGAUUGGGAAAAUCAAUAUUGUAAAAAUGGCCAUACUACCCAAAGCAAUCUACAGAUUCAAUGCAAUCCCUAUCAAAUUACCCGUGACAUUUUUCACAGAACUAGAACAAACAAUCCAAACAUUUAUAUGGAA